rnacentral:lncRNA from 1 species
GCAUUCAAAGCAUACGAACGAAACUCACAGAGAAUGCAACGAUUCACAAUAGAAGAAGCACGGAUUGAAGAGUAGAAAGUGAAGAAUUCAGAGACGAAGAAGAUUGAUACCUGUUUUUUGCCACCGUGUCGAAUCUAGUGAGUUUUCUUGCUUCAAUCUGCGUUUUAUAUCAUUUUUGCAUUGCGAUUUCGUUUCGAUUCCGAUCAAUUUCGUUGAGGUUAGACGCAAUUAGGAAUGUUGUUGAUUGGGUUUGUGGUUGAUGAAGCUUUGUAUCGAUGAAUUUGAGAUGGUAAUGGCUAACGCAAAUCCAUGAGCUUGACGAUGAAACAUGAUGUUGACUUGUGGGAUAAGUGCUUUUUUUUCCGUUUACUUCAGAUUGUAAGCGUGUUUUGGUUGCUUUUCUCUAGCUUAUCGUGUUUUCUCGCGUUUGGACUUGGAUGUUUUGUGCUGCUGAGUUUUGCUGAACUUGUUG